CUGAAUGGGCGCCAUUUUUAGUCCGGUAUCCAGCUCUUAUAAUACAUCCAUGGGCUAGCGCCUUUCUCACAAUGCAAUGUGUAUUGUACGUGGGGAAAAUCCGAAUACGCAUGCUCAGAGUGUUGGUGUAUUCAAUGUAGAUCACACGAAAUUAAUGACAAGUGGGACAGACAGCCAGUAGCCCCACUAAAGCGUCAUUUCAUAUUUCACAGUUGAUUGGCUAUCUGUCAGACAGAGAGGUUUCAAAUGACGCUGCAGUGCGGCUACAGCGCGAGUUUGGUACAGUCGGCAAAAAAGAGGGGAGACUUUCUUAGCUAACGCCAGCUAACUUGAAGAAAAUAAAGUGGAUUUCAUACUCGAGCACAGGGUAUAAACCCUUUAUUUGGAAGAGAAAUUGGAGAAGCAGAAGCAGACACCUCGGAGCCCACCAGCCACAGAAUACUGUCAUCAGUCAAACUGCUGGUAAAAUGAACCGCGGGUUUAACGUGGUGAAGUUUGCCGGGAGGAAAAACCGCCAUGCUGCCCUUUCCUGAGCCGUCAGCAGUUGCUGAGAUGUGAAGAGGACCGGAGUGUGCUGGCCCAUCACACAGUCUCAUGUACGACACUGCAGGGAACAGGUGGAGCAACAGCAGGAAGCUAUAGUCAAGCUCACCAGGGUUCAGAGAUUAUUAUUCAGCAGCCCUCUCUCCAAUCUCAGAUGUCUAAGUGUGCAUGAGAGCACCAACAGGAAGACGUUUCAAAAGAGCACCUGCCUGCAACACUAUGUGACAACAAGGUAACUUUGACAAAACACAAAAGAUGUGAAAUGUUCACUGUGAUUGAUUUACAAACACAAGGAAGUUUAAAGCAACACAAUGUAACUUAUAAAUGUAGGAAAAGUAAUUUUUUUCUCUAAACAAUAAAAAAAUGUAGCCGCUGCUACUCUGCCUCUGAUUGGCUCUGACUCUGAUAUUUUACCCAAACCAUCUCACUCCUCAUGCCUAAACCUAACCAACCUAAGCAACGAGGGCAACGACUACUAGCCAAUCAGAGGUGGAGUAGGGUGGGUCUUUGCGACAUGUGGCACGUAUCCUCACUCAUGGCUCCUCAGAGAUCCCUCCUUGCUUCUCAGAGCAGAAAUAAGUGCUUUGGGACGGUCUUCAUGAUGGUGGAAUGGAACAAUUUCCAGUUCAAGUGAAGUGAGGAACAAUCAAAUUAGGGACUUGAGAUGUACCUUAAGAGAACAACUGGCUGAGAGUGCCAUCAUAGCUGUGUCCCCAAGCAACAAGGUGUGAACAAAGGUUCCUAUGUAAAAGCAAAGACACCAAUGACACACUCCAUGGCAAUUGGAAAUUGCUAUAUUAAACAAAAUUUAAUAUAGACCUGAUCUGUUCAUUUUAAUACAUUUCUGUUUAUUGAAAUGUGGUGAUAUCUGUUCA